GAUGAACGCUGGCGGCGUGCCUAAUACAUGCAAGUCGAGCGAACAGACGAGGAGCUUGCUCCUCUGACGUUAGCGGCGGACGGGUGAGUAACACGUGGAUAACCUACCUAUAAGACUGGGAUAACUUCGGGAAACCGGAGCUAAUACCGGAUAAUAUAUUGAACCGCAUGGUUCAAUAGUGAAAGACGGUUUUGCUGUCACUUAUAGAUGGAUCCGCGCCGCAUUAGCUAGUUGGUAAGGUAACGGCUUACCAAGGCAACGAUGCGUAGCCGACCUGAGAGGGGGAUCGGCCACACUGGAACUGAAACACGGUCAAGACUCCUACGGGAGGCAGCAGUAGGGAAUCUUCCGCAAUGGGCGAAAGCCUGACGGAGCAACGCCGCGUGAGUGAUGAAGGUCUUCGGAUCGUAAAACUCUGUUAUUAGGGAAGAACAAAUGUGGAAGUAACUAUGCACGUCUUGACGGUACCUAAUCAGAAAGCCACGGCUAACUACGUG
rnacentral:rRNA from 1 species